AUGCAAGUCGAGCGCCGUAGCAAUACGGAGCGGCAGACGGGAGAGUAACACGUGGGAACGUACCCUUUGGUUCGGAACAACCCAGGGAAACUUGGGCUAAUACCGAAUAAGCCCUCACGGGGAAAGAUUCAUCGCCGAAGGAUCGGCCCGCGUCUGAUUAGCUAGUUGGUGGGGUAAUGGCCCACCAAGGCGACGAUCAGUAGCUGGUCUGAGAGGAUGAUCAGCCUCACUGGGACUGAGACACGGCCCAGACUCCUAUGGGAGGCAGCAGUGGGGAAUAUUGGACAAUGGGCGCAAGCCUGAUCCAGCCAUGCCGCGUGGGUGAUGAAGGCCCUAGGGUUGUAAAGCCCUUUCGGCGGGGAAGAUAAUGACGGUACCCGCAGAAGAAGCCCCGGCUAACUUCGUGCCAGCAGCCGCGGUAAUACGAAGGGGGCUAGCGUUGCUCGGAACCACUGGGCGUAAAGCGCACGUAGGCGGAUUGUUAAGUCAGGGGUGAAAUCCUGGAGCUCAACUCCAGAACUGCCUUUGAUACUGGCGAUCUUGA
rnacentral:rRNA from 1 species